ensembl:lncRNA
GGAGUCCUGGUUGCGGGACUAGGGGCCUUUGCUGUGGUCCAAGAGCGGUUCCACCAUGAAGAAGGUGCUGUUACAGUUCGAAGACCUGUCUUUCACCUGGACAUCGAUGCACAGUGGCUGCAGCACUUCCAGUCUCCCACUGAGAUCAUCCCUGACAAUGUCAGGAUGGAGCCACUGAACUACUGGCGGCUAUCGCAAGCCACCGGCAUCCCGCUGCGUGUGGUGCAGAGCUGUGUGAAAGAGACCAUCCUCUUAUACUGUCUCCUCCUGAGCACCAAAGUGCACGUCCCAUUUGCCUUCAAGGGCAUCGGCAUCCUGACGUGUGAAGAUAACCUCCUUUGCAUGAGGUUCUAUCACAGCUGUGUUACGAUGCUGGAGGGGACUGCAAGCAUGCUUGCAUUGAUUCUCAGUAGAAUUUGGCCAGAACAUCCCAUGGAUCUCAGCCCAGAGACCACCACUCGCGGGAUCCAGAUGUUCCCAAGGUUUCAGCUGACUAUGAAAAAGAGCAGAGCAGAGGCCACCUCCAGCACGAGAGCUGCAGAAGAGCGCAGGAUCAGCAGAGGUGCAGGGGGCUCUGCUGGCAGGCUGUUGCAGAGAAGGGGGAUGCUUCCCCCCUCCAUGCUGCCAAGCUGGGAACCAGGCACAUGGCAGAAAGAGACAGCAAAGAAGCCUUCUGCCAGCGUGCUGCCGCUGUGUCCAGGCAGCUCCCUCUGGAAGAAGACGUCGGGCCGCCGGGAAGCAGCUCCUCCAGCCCAGCCCAGCACAGCACUCCCUGCAACAGAAGGCUCUAAGAGAGUGCUGCAGGAACUCUGGGAAGUGUCUGCACCGUGGGACAAAGUGGAGCACUUGUGGCCUAUGUACCAUAAGGAGGUACUGCAAACACGGGCAGAAAGGACAGCAUGGGACGGCUGGAGCACAGGGGAGGACCAGCAGCCACCCCAGUGGUUCGACGAGGCACGCGCUUGGGCUCCACAUCCUCCAGCACAGCCCAAGCGACAGCAGGCAAGGCGUAGGUGGAGGAAGGCUGAGGGCCCAAUACCAUCAAAUGAAAUGGGAACAGCUUCCAAGCUGGUACUCCAGGCUGACCUUCUUUCCCCAAGAGCAGCUCAAGUGCUGAGAAGGCUGGAGCCGCACCUACAUCAGCAGGAGGCUUUUGCCAGCAUGGCAGAAAGAAACAGGCAAAAGCAAGCACAGAAGCAGCAGCACCCCUGGUAAGCUCCAUGAGAAGCAGAUCCUGACAGCCCCGCCUGAGCCCAACCUGCGGAACUACUUUAUGCUCAGUUUGUAAGACUGCUUACACUGUUCUUUUCCCCUCUUUAGCUGUCAGUGCUGGUACCGUUUCAGAGGGAAAGAUGCUGAGAACAAUGGUGGCAGCGGUGGAGCUCCCAGCAAGGGGGCUGGGAAGCUGUCCAGCUUUCCACCUCUGUAAAGCAAACAAAGGUGACAAUACAAACUUUAUUUGAGACAUAGGCGCCAUACAACAAGAUAUCAAGGGAAGAGGAACCAAGUCACCCCUCCCAGCAACACCCUGGAAAAAAGCGUGAGCUGAAGAACACAGCCUGCUCCAGUUCAAACUCUGGCGCGGGGAAGAGAAGGAAGAGGGCAGGGAAAAACAGCACAGACUCAGACUGCAAACACGUUCCUGGAAGCACCACUGAGUUGGGGAGAGAGAAAGGAGUGGAUGUAGGCUCCCCCCACUCCAGGCACUCACGUGCUCAUGUACUGGUUCAGGCUGUGACCUAGGAAUUCCACUGUACACCUCCG